rnacentral:rRNA from 1 species
GGUGAACGCUGGCGGUAGGCCUAACACAUGCAAGUCGAACGGCAGCACAGUAAGAGCUUGCUCUUACGGGUGGCGAGUGGCGGACAGGUGAGGAAUACAUCGGAAUCUACUUUUUCGUGGGGGAUAACGUAGGGAAACUUACGCUAAUACCGCAUACGACCUACGGGUGAAAGCAGGGGAUCUUCGGACCUUGCGCGAUUGAAUGAGCCGAUGUCGGAUUAGCUAGUUGGCGGGGUAAAGGCCCGCCAAGGCGACGAUCCGUAGCUGGUCUGAGAGGAUGAUCAGCCACACUGGAACUGAGACACGGUCCAGACUCCUACGGGAGGCAGCAGUGGGGAAUAUUGGACAAUGGGCGCAAGCCUGAUCCAGCCAUACCGCGUGGGUGAAGAAGGCCUUCGGGUUGUAAAGCCCUUUUGUUGGGAAAGAAAAGCAGCAGGUUAAUACCCCGCUGUUCUGACGGUACCCAAAGAAUAAGCACCGGCUAACUUCGUG